UACGUAAGGGGCGAGCGUUGCUCGGAAUUACUGGGCGUAAAGGGCGUGUAGGCGGUAAUAUAAGUCGAAUGUAAAAAACCGCAGCUUAACUGCGGGUCUGCGUUCGAAACUGUAUUGCUUGAGUCUGGUGGAGGGUGAUGGAAUUCCCGGUGUAGCGGUGAAAUGCGUAGAUAUCGGGAAGAACACCGAAGGCGAAGGCAGUCAUCCAUGCCAAGACUGACGCUGAGGCGCGAAAGCAUGGGUAU
rnacentral:rRNA from 1 species